CCUACGGGAGGCUGCAGUGAGGAAUAUUGGUCAAUGGGCGGAAGCCUGAACCAGCCAAGUAGCGUGCAGGAUGACGGCCCUACGGGUUGUAAACUGCUUUUAUACGGGAGUAACGCGCCUUACGUGUAGGGCUUUGCAUGUACCGUAUGAAUAAGGACCGGCUAAUUUCGUUCCAGCAGCCGCGGUAAUAAGGAGGGUCCGGGCGUUAUCCGGAUUUGUGGGGUUUAAAGGGAGCGUAGGCGGAAGGUCAAGCGUGCUGUGAAAUGUCCGGGCCCAACCCGGGCGUUGCAGCGCGAACUGGCAGGCUUGAGUCCGCGGAAGGCAGGCGGAAUUCGAGGUGGAGGGGUGAAA
rnacentral:rRNA from 1 species